UCAGAACGUUAAAGCAGAGGAAGGCUGCCCCUUCUUGCUCUCGCGCGUAGGAGACGCAGCAGUGCAGCCGUUUUUGGCCGACAAGACAGGACAGCAUCCUACCUCCGGGGGCGGCAAAGGGGCCCGUGGCGGGUCCUGGCACGCGUGUCUUCUCUGGUCUUUGGACCUGGGGCAGAGGACGCAGAGCAGAGGCCAGCGGAGGCUGCGGGCCAGCAGGCCCUCUCCGGGAUGCCAGAACGAGCCUCGGACGCGGGCCCGCGGGGUGUAUUUUGGGAGGCCAGCCUCGGGCCGCCGCUGAGAGGGCUGCAGGCUGGCGUCACGGAGACACCACCGGAAGGAAGGCCUGAGAGUUCUGGAGCCCAGCGCCAAGGGCCCAGCCCCGGAAGAGCAGCCGGGCUGCAGCGAGCACUGCUCUCGGGUAAGACGGCUCACGUGCCGAGGACCCUCUCAGCUCUGGGACGCCUCGGGCUCCACCGUCAGAACUGGCCAGACGUGCAGUGCAGGUGAAAGACCAAGCAGGUGUGGGUUCCUACCUCGUGGCGCCUAGAGGAACAGACAGACAACAAAGACACGCAAAACGAAGCGACUAGAACUGUGAUAAUAUGGCCUGUCUAGAGGACAAGCCUCGCCUGAAGCUUUGACUCAAAGCCCAGAUGACCCACAUUGGCCUGCUGGCCACACGGCCCACAGCCUGGCCCAGGGGGCUGCUAGCUUGUGUGUGCCUCCUGAGUUUCAGCUUGUUACCUGAAAAACCACACAGAACAACAACAGUAAGACAGACAAGGUGCCAAGGUCCACGUGAGGUCAGACGGAGUGUGUAAAGGAGUUUCUGGACCCCAGACCUGUGCCUCUACAGGACCUGUGCACAGGCAUCAGCCCCAGAAAUGUGAGGGUAAAACACGGUCGCUCACAGCAUCUGCACACAGGACGGAAGUUACCCACCACCCGCCACGGUGUGGACGCAAGACGGAGCGGAGUUGCCAGCCACCCGCCACGGCACGGACGCAAGACGGAGCAGAGUCACCCACUAUGUGCCACAGUAAAGAGUCACUGAAUAAAUAUUUACUGA
rnacentral:lncRNA from 1 species